rnacentral:rRNA from 1 species
GUGAGGAAUAUUGGACAAUGGAUGGAAAUCUGAUCCAGCCAUGCCGCGUGCAGGAAGACGGCCCUAUGGGUUGCAAACUGCUUUUAUACGGGAGCAAUAAGGUCUAUGCAUAGAUUGAUGAGAGUACCGUAUGAAUAAGCAUCGGCUAACUCCGUGCCAGCAGCCGCGGUAAUACGGAGGAUGCGAGCGUUAUCCGGAUUUAUUGGGUUUAAAGGGUGCGUAGGCGGCUUUGUAAGUCAGCGGUGAAAUUUUGCAGCUUAACUGUAAAAGCGCCGUUGAUACUGUGAAGCUAGGAUUUGGUUGCUGUGGGCGGAAUGUGUGGUGUAGCGGUGAAAUGCAUAGAGAUCACACAGAAUAUCGAUUGCGAAGGCAGCUCACAAAGCCAAUAUUGACGCUGAGGCACGAAAGUGUGGGGAUCAAACAGGAUUAGAAACCCGAGUAGUCC